GGGUUCUAGGGAGAAUGGGGUUUGUUUAUCCGGGAACCAGCCUGUAACUGUUGGGGAGAGUGGGGCGGAGAGGGGGACAUGCCGGAGAGAGGGAGAGAGCAAGGCAACUCGGGACUCAAAACAGUCAAAUUCAAAUUAAAAGGUCAAGACACGAUUCAGGGAAUAUUCCCAGAGAGGAAGAGGGAACCUGCAGGGCCUCGGCUGGUUUGUGGGAGUCACGUAUCACACGGGAAACUAGGACACCAGAUGUGACAAAAUCCGACCCGGAGCAGUGUCCUUUACAGAGCGAACGAGCUGGGGAGCAUUUGUGAAUGGAGAAGAGGAACAAGCGUGUUUGUGUGGUUUUUAUUAUUUUUUUAAAAAGAAAAACGAGAAAUAAGGGACAAGGAAACGGAAUCUGGAAAAUAACUUGUCUUUCCGGUCGCCCCGCAUUUUCCCAUGGAGGAAGCCUCGGGUUUCGAUUUUCCAAAGGGCUGGAGCCUGGCCAGAAAAGGACCGGUGCCCCGGGCACCCUGGCGUGGAGGAGUGCGGAGGCUGGAUUGCUUCUAGAGAGGCCCAAGCCCGCGGCCGCUAGAAAAGGAUUUCGGAAGGAAAUCCACGGAACUCCCUCAUCCAGGGGGCAAGAGAUGAGGCACGGGGAUCCGUGGGCCCUGGGAACACUGGCAGAAAAUGUAUAAUGUGUGACUCGCUUGCAGGGCCAGCCAGGGGAAAUUAGAAAUGGUUUUGUGUUUUCAUUUGCAGGGGUCACCGUGGGCUCGGCACAGGGGUUGGCUGGAGCAAGGUUAGGCUGUUUAGGCCCCAGACAAGACUUGGGAAAACCCUGGGCAGCCGUCAAUCCAGGGAGCCAUUUGUCCCACCUCCCACCCCGCGGGAAACGGCAGAGACUUUAUGGCCACUCUGUUUGUAUUAUCUGCAUAAGUCUUUCCCCACCAGUUUGAUCGAAACUGUUCGCUUUUACGAGGACCCAACGAAAAUUCCCCGUCAUAUUUAUCAGCCGGGGAUAAAAAUUUAGUAUGGGAACUGAUAUUUCCUCAUUUAUGGGGCGAUGAAAUUAAAGACCAAAGCAAUUGAGAAUUAUAUGGCUUUGGGGGGUUCCCUCCCCCCUCUUUCACAUCUCCUUUAUUUUCCCGCCUGGUGUUCCUGUCCGUGGAGUUUGGCAUCCCAGUCCCCUGCCCUUGCCCCCUGUUUGGGGGUCUGCUGGGCCCUCCCUUCCACACCCAGGAUAAACGCAAACCCGGAGCUGUUAAACAAGACCCCGAGCGGAGAGCGGACGCAGACUUGAAUAACUUGGGGUUUUGCAGACUUUGGGAUUCCGCCGCAGUGGAGGCGAAAGAGAGGAAGACGUGAGGGAAGAUCGGUGGUUCCAGAGGGCAGGCCGAGGGCUGGGGCACUAGGGGUCCCCAUGUGAAAACAGAAGAAGGAAAAUAUAGUGCUCAACGAACAGAAAGGAACCACGGCUGUUACCCUGGUGCCAACCCUCAACGUGCCCCCAGAAACACCUCGAGUUUUCCAAGGAAAGUGAGAGUUUCCCCAACAGGUUAAAGAAAUCGUCUGGGAAAUUCCAAAGGUGGAGUGAAAAAAAGGAAGAGCGUCUUUCCCUUUGGGGUAAAAUAAUAAAAUAAAAUAAUAGUAAAGUUGGUGUAUUGAAAUCUAUCUCUUCAAGUGAAAUGGAAAAUAAA